ACAAAAUCGUUGAACAGAACAAGGUUUUUCGGAUUCCUCGUAUUGCAGAGAGCUGUCGGUUGGUGCGAGACAGUAUACCGAACGGAAAGCUAUCCUCUGCGAGAUGUGCACUGAAAUUUCUGGCUUAGUCAGAUACGGUAAGUGUCACCGGGUUCUCCCGUUAUAGAGAAGCUUAUUGAAAAUAUGUGGUCAAUUUAUGGGACACAUAUCGUGAUAAGAGUAAGAGGUCAUUUUGAUGUGACAAAUGAAGUGGUACCGCGGAAGUAUAUAAGCUUUCGUCUUUGUG
rnacentral:ncRNA from 1 species